UUUUUUUUUUUUUUUUUUUGGUCAAACAACUCAACUCUAUUUGUACUUGCAACUUAACAGUAAAAGCAUAGCAAAAUUACCUAGUUUUUGGUGCUAAAAUUACAAUGAAAUCAUGUGACUGACAUCCCACAAUUCAUUUCACCAAAUAGUUCUGUGUUAUCAGUUGAGUAAAUAGAGGAUCCUCCAUAUACUCCUAAACGGAGAGACUCAAUUGCGAAUAGGUGAACUAAAAUGUCAAUGGUUUGAAAGCAAUUAUUCAAAAUACGUAGAUGAAAUUUGAUCUAAAAGGUUGAUUUUUGCACGUACCAUGAGAGAAAGGGAGAGCAAUAUCAUGCAUUCGAAUUGCGUUUUCUGGGAAAGUUUUUUACUAUAAUACUUUUUGCUAUGUGAUCUAUGUGAAAUGAAAAAGUAUUUGAGAAACGUGCUUAAGGAAAGUUUCACAAAGUUCUUCUACAUAAUAUCGAAAUAAUAGGAUAAAAAAAAUUGGAAUCCAAACGACCACCUACCAUAUGGACAUUCCACGACUUUUGAUACACUCCAUGAGGAUUUACAAGAAUGAGAUGUUAGAAAUUCACUUACAACAGAAUACAUCUUAUGCCUCCACAUAAAUCAACUUCAUCAUACCUAUAAUGCAACUUUUUUCUGAAUACAAAUGUACCAGAACAAGCAACAAAGAAAGCAAUACAUAAAUCAACUAAAUAGUCAUUGCGCUACCCAUCUCACGCCUCCACAUAAAUCAACUUCACCAUACCAAUAGUGCAGCUGUUUCUAAACACAAAAAUAUACCAGAACAAUCAACAAAGAAAGCAGUACAUUCUGCUAAUGUCAUUACACUACCCAUUUUUCCUCAGCAACAUUAAGAAGUUCAAGCAAUCUUCGGUGCAGUGAGUUGAAGGGAAUCUAGAG
rnacentral:lncRNA from 1 species